rnacentral:rRNA from 1 species
AUGAACGCUGGCGGCGUGCCUAAUACAUGCAAGUCGAGCGAACGGACGAGAAGCUUGCUUCUCUGAUGUUAGCGGCGGACGGGUGAGUAACACGUGGAUAACCUACCUAUAAGACUGGGAUAACUUCGGGAAACCGGAGCUAAUACCGGAUAAUAUUUUGAACCGCAUGGUUCAAAAGUAAAAGACGGUCUUGCUGUCACUUAUAGAUGGAUCCGCGCUGCAUUAGCUAGUUGGUAAGGUAACGGCUUACCAAGGCAACGAUGCAUAGCCGACCUGAGAGGGUGAUCGGCCACACUGGAACUGAGACGCGGUCCAGACUCCUACGGGAGGCAGCAGUAGGGAAUCUUCCGCAAUGGGCGAACGCCUGACGGAGCAACGCCGCGUGGGUGAUGAAGGUCUUCGGAUCGUAAAACUCUGUUAUUAGGGAAGAACAUAUGUGUAAGUAACUGUGCACAUCUUGACGGUACCUAAUCAGAAAGCCACGGCUAACUACGUG